ACAUGCAAGUCGAGGGGCAUCAUGGCGGUUGCUUGCAACCGCCGAUGGCGACCGGCGGAAGGGUGCGUAACGCGUGAGCGACAUGCCCGUUGCCCGGGGACAACCGGUGGAAACGCCGACUAAUCCCCGAUGGGACGGAGGCCCUCAUGGGUCUCUGUUGAAAGUUACGGCGGCGACGGAUUGGCUCGCGUCCGAUUAGCUAGUUGGCGGGGUAACGGCCCACCAAGGCUACGAUCGGUAGGGGUUCUGAGAGGAAGGUCCCCACAAUGGAACUGAGACACGGUCCAAACUCC
rnacentral:rRNA from 1 species